GGCCGAGUGGCCCAAUGGUAGGGCGUUACUUUCCGGUGCAAGAUGUCCUGAAAAUCAACAAGGCCUCUAGCGAGGCUGGUAAAGGUUCUGGGUUCGAGCCCCAGCUUGGUCG